ACCCUUAGAUGUUCUGGGCAGCACGCGCGCUACAAUGGUCUUCGCAAACGGAUGCAUUCUCGAAGGAGAAUGCCAAUCUUGGAAUCUAUGCCUUGGUCGGGACAGUUGCUUGCAAUUUUUCGACUCGAACCAGGAAUUCCUUGUAAUCGUGAUUCAUCACAUCACGAUGAAUACGUCCCUGCCCUUUGUACACACCGCCCGUCGCUCCUACCGAUCGAAGAGUUAGGUGAAUUGGUUUGAUCGAUAAGAUUUGACUAUGGUCAACUCUCGUUGUGAAAUUCUGUGAAUCUGACUGUUUAGAGGAAGGAAAAGUCGUAACA
rnacentral:rRNA from 1 species